rnacentral:sRNA from 1 species
GCCAGGCGUGGUGGUGCAUGCCUGUAAUCCCAGAGGUUAGGGAGGCUGAGGUAGGAGAAUCACGAUUUCAAAGCCAGCCUCGU